GACGAACGCUGGCGGCAUGCUUAACACAUGCAAGUCGUACGGAAAGGCCCUGCUUUUGUGGGCUGCUCGAGUGGCGAACGGGUGAGUAACACGUGAGUAACCUGCUCUUGACUUUGGGAUAACUUCACGAAACUGGGGCUAAUCCCGUACAGGAGCUCCUGCUGCAUGGUGGGGAUUGGAACGUUUCGGCGGUUGGGGAUGGACUCGCGGCUUAUCAGCUUGUUGGUGGGGUAGUGGCUGACCAAGGCUUUGGCGGGUAGCCGGCCCGAGAGGGGGACCGGGCACAAUGGGACUGCGAGACGGCCCAGAGUGCUACGGGAGGCAACAGUGGGGAAUAUUGCACAAUGGGCGGAAGCGUGAUGCAGAAACGCCGCGUGCGGGAUGACGGCCUUCGGGGUAUAAACCGCUUUAGCCUGUGACGAAGCGUGAGUGACGGUAAUGAAUAAAGAAGCACCGGCUAACUACGUG
rnacentral:rRNA from 1 species